GACGAACGCUGGCGGCGUGCCUAAUACAUGCAAGUAGAACGCUGAAGGAGGAGCUUGCUUCUCUGGAUGAGUUGCGAACGGGUGAGUAACGCGUAGGUAACCUGCCUGGUAGCGGGGGAUAACUAUUGGAAACGAUAGCUAAUACCGCAUAAUAGUAGAUGUCGCAUGACAUUUGCUUAAAAGGUGCAAUUGCAUCACUACCAGAUGGACCUGCGUUGUAUUAGCUAGUUGGUGAGGUAACGGCUCACCAAGGCAACGAUACAUAGCCGACCUGAGAGGGUGAUCGGCCACACUGGGACUGAGACACGGCCCAGACUCCUACGGGAGGCAGCAGUAGGGAAUCUUCGGCAAUGGACGGAAGUCUGACCGAGCAACGCCGCGUGAGUGAAGAAGGUUUUCGAUCGUAAAGCUCUGUUGUAAGAGAAGAACGAGUGUGAGAGUGGAAAGUUCACACUGUGACGGUAUCUGACCAGAAAGGGACGGCUAACUACGUG
rnacentral:rRNA from 1 species